rnacentral:rRNA from 1 species
CAGCAGCCGCGGGAAUACAGAGGGUGCGAGCGUUAAUCGGAUUUACUGGGCGUAAAGCGUGCGUAGGCGGCUUCUUAAGUCGGAUGUGAAAUCCCUGAGCUUAACUUAGGAAUUGCAUUCGAUACUGGGAAGCUAGAGUAUGGGAGAGGAUGGUAGAAUUCCAGGUGUAGCGGUGAAAUGCGUAGAGAUCUGGAGGAAUACCGAUGGCGAAGGCAGCCAUCUGGCCUAAUACUGACGCUGAGAGACGAAAGCUAGGGGAGAAAAUGGGAUUAGAGACCCCAGUAGUCCCUGUCCUUAUACA